CUCAACGGGAACCGGAAGAGUUUAGAGAGAGAGAGAGUGGGUAUGGGAGGAAGGCGUCAGGCGUGGCUGGACAGUGCCUUUGGGAUUUGGAGCGUUUGACGCCGGUACGGCUUCCAGAUGCCGUGGCCUCAGAAGCUCAAGGCCGUGGGGGCGCGGCGGCUCAUGGGCGAGGGGCGGCUCCAGAGGUGGAGUCGCCGUGGACUGUUCGGGGGGCGGAGGUAACCGCAGAGGUAGUGUGAGGAGCUGUAGGUCGCGCUGGCGGAGUGGGCGCGACGGCGCCUCGUGACCCCGAGCGGUCGUCGGCGGCGGCGGAAGCUACGACUGGAGCAUUCCCUCUAGAUGCGGUGACUCGAGGCAUACCUCCCGGCGCCAGCGUUCUGCCAGGGCGAAGUGGCACAGUACUAGGAGCUCCAGUCGGUCAUGGAGCUCUUGAUGGAAACCGGUGUGAAGCUAGGUCUACUGCGCAGGAAACUCGUGCAGUACAGGUNNNNNNNNNNNNNNNNNNNNNNNAAAGCUCUCUUACACCGCCGUACCUGUAGGAAGGUACCGGCCUUCCUGCGCAAGUUUCCGAAGGAUACCGCGCAAGAGUUCGAUUUCCUUCUCCUAUCCUUACAAUCAUACCGUCUCUUCUGUUUGAUGGAGAACAAAUACUAUUUGCGUAAAGUCUCAAACCUCCUACUUUAACAGGCCCUCUGAUAUGAGGUCCAUCAUUCGAAUUUCAACACCGUAUGAGAAAGAAAACCUGCUGAAGUCUACCUCGAAACGGAAUUAGGACUUAACUAAUUCUUCACCUGUUUUUAAUUUUCUUUUCUUCGCUUCCUUCCCUUUUUCCGACCCUUUUGACCAUUAAGAAGUCUUUACGAGCUCUUAUUUAAGGAAUCCUUGGAUUACCUUCUUAAGGACCUCUAAGAACUAAGUUUCCAGUAUAAUAGAUCAGUUCUACCACCUCUUCUUAGACAGAAAUUACUUAGGGAAUCACCCGUCCAACUACUAAGAUCACAGAACAUAACACUUUCUAAGUACCUUAAAGACUAACUAUACAACUCGGUCGAAGGAUGCUCUUCUAAAGAUUCCGGCGAAUAGCGACUACAACGACAGCAACGGUUCACGGUGAAUUCGUACGAAAUACGAGUACUUUUCCCCGCAGAAAAACGUGUUAACCACCUGAAUGAAGUCAAGAUGCUUCCGAAACUCUAAUUACUAUUAAGACCCUGUGUCGAAUCACUACUACUACAGAACGUUCGAGUGAUAAGAGCAAAGGUUCGAAAAGUCGACGAUCGUAAGUUUGUUCACGGAUUCAACGCUCUGGAACGGAACACAUUAUAACCAAGUUAGGUAUUCGCACGACUAAAUUGUUUCUUCGACGAACAGAACAGUCUAUACCUUGACGUUCUAGACCAAACGUUAUUCGAAUUUUAUUAAAGUCUCUUCCUAGGUACCUGACCUUCCGCACUAAAGGAAUAGCUCCAGCAUCAACGAAAAAAACUCUUCGCAGUUAGGGUCUUUCUACGUCAAUUACGUGAAGGAGAAAUAGGUUUACUUGUCUAGUACACCCUACUCUCGGAACAAGGAUCGUAGUUAAUAAGACCUCUUCCGACAGAACGGGAGGGUUUUGAGUUAGAGGUUAAAGACUGUGAAGUACUAAUGAACGACUCCUUAAAAUUAGAGAAAGCAGAACUUAGUUGUAUACUUUAAGCACUUCUAUAAGUCCUUCGACAAGGAGUAAAUGUACGAAUGUAGUUGUUACUCCCCCUGUGAAGGAAAGCACCUACCAGGUCCUACCGACAAGGUUAGUUUCUUAAAUCCUAGUGUGUUCACUUCGUUGGUUUGUAACCUCUCCAAUUCGGAAGACGACAUUGACGACUACAAUGAAAAUCGUAUAGUUCGAUGUCUAGUGUCUAUUUUAGACUCACCCUACGAGACUUUCUCGUACUACACAAUAAAAACAACAGUUAGGCGGGUAGAAAACUUGGAGAAUCGGGGCUCCUCCGACGUUUUAGUUGACACGGACUUUCCAAUCCUAACGUUAUACAUGCACCAACACUCCACUAACUUUAGGCACUACUCCUUCCCCCUGAGUACUUACUGAUAUGUCCUUCCCAUUUCUUCCUACUCACCUUUGGAGGUUUCCCACUCUAAGCAUGUCAAUUUUAAUGGAAUCUAUGUCGUGUCAUAGUGUAACUACGAUGACUCAAUCGUCUCUUCCCACGUCUUUUACAAAUACCCUGUAAAUUAUAAGAUUACUCUUCCUUUGGGUUCCUUUUAUUAAAGUUUCGUUAGGAUCUUAGGUAUGCACUAGAUUACUUACUUUGUACACAUCAAGGACUUACCAACGUAUUGUAUAAGAACCCAAUGCCUUUAGGAAGACGGCGUGUCACCUAUUUAUACGGACUAGAAGACCUUUGAUAUCUAAAAUUCCUGUGAAAAGAACUACGAUCGGUGCAACACGUUUCGAAAGGUCGAAAGGUCCAGUGUAAGUAGUUAUGACUACCAUGUCUUUUGUACGUAGGUUCGGGAGGGAAAUCCUAGUUCAACAGGUUCUUUUACUCCCUUUAUUCAGUACGAGAUGGGCCGUUACAUUUACGGAGACUAUGGCGUUCGUUCUUGUUGUACCAACUACUACUUCCCAGAGUCUUUCUUUUUGAUUCCCACCUCUGAAUGUAAGGACGACUGGGUCACGGUAUAGGAGUUCUAUUUGGAUUGGUCUUGAGUCACUCCAAAUGUGGGUGAGUCCAGCCGCGAUAUUAUAGACCAUAAGUUGGACCCAACUGCUACCAACAACCAGGAGGACCUUGCCCUUUUUGUCUAUGUCGACACGUCUAUAAUUUACAAGAUAUAGUAUUGACAGGAAGUGUUUCUUGUGAAUAAUAUUGGGUAAGCUUAGUUCGAAACUUACUAAACAAGCUCUUCUAUUACGUCUCCCUACACGGACGAUCCAUGGAAGAAGCAGAACCAGUCCCACUUGUUCUUGACCGUUGACUAGAACUAAAAUCGGCAGUUCCAGCACAUUUACGAUACGACCAAGCCGCUGAUCUCGACGAACCACUUCAACGUUUUGACCGUUAUAGGGAAGUAGAAGGACUUCUACACUCGAUGUGUACACUUUUACGACGUAUAAAAACCAAUAAUGUACAAAUACGGGCGACCCUUGUUAAGAACCGACGUACACACGGUUUAUUCCUCUUAGGGAGAAAACAAUUUCUGGCAAAAGGUAAAAGGCUCAAGAAAAGCCUAUGGGUUGUCGGACACAAAUGACCACUCAGGAAACUCUUUCUAUACGUACGUCGGUUUCCUACAAAGUUUGUAGAAAGAUGCUAUAAGGUUCUCGACCUUCUCACGUCCCGAAAACUCAAUGACUUCAGUUGUCGACUCGCUCGUUUAAUAGACUACUGGUUUGUUCGAUUCUAACAACGGUACUGAACAUGAGUACGUCGUAACUUCUCUUCUCUGAAAGAAGUUAACCCAAAGUUUAUACUGUUAAAUGACUACCUUCUUUCACGUGUCUAUAACCUCUAUCUCUGAAAAUAUGGUUGAGAGGACGUUGCCGUCCUUCUACCGAUACGAGCAGAGUUUGCAACGUAAAAUUAACCACUAGUGGUAGUCAAUGGGGGACAGCACUUCUUGUACCGAAAAGUCUUCAUGUCGGUGUACCUGGUCUCAGAGAAGUGUUCCAAACAAGCGGAACCACAGGGAAUAUAACUUGAGUUACGAGUCCCAGCACGGUCUGGAUCAUAACGAGUCGAAAUAUUAACCUCUAUGUCUCUUGACCCUCUAGACGGAAUACAUGUACUCCUUCGAUAUAAGGUAUUUCGAUUAAGACCCAAGAGAAUGCUCAUAGUCGACCAACUACAAGGACUAAUAGCACCGUCUCCGCUCAGACGAGGAAGAGGAACCAAGAUGGUCUUACUUCCCCUCCGACUCAUAUAACAAUCACAGAUAUAAAUGUACGCAGACUAACCUAUGGGACGGUUAUUCUAAAGUUAUAAUUGGUGAAUGUUACCAGUCUUCGAAGAAUAAGCACUACAAUAGUCGUCUGCUACGUUCGGUACCUUAUAACUCGGUGGAACGUUCCAAUGAUGUCACCUGUUUAAGGUCCCAGUUGUUUUACUAAAAUAAAAUAACAGAGAACAGGCCUGGGCUAAACACCCAGUAGAAGCACUACAGUCUUCCGAAUAACACCGUUACAGGGCACGAGCAAACCCAAACAUACACAAGACGGCGACAAGAGACAAACUUGUUACGAUACUUGACGUCGGUUGUAAGGUCGAAGAUGAGGUUUCCGGGCUAUUCGAACGCAAUUUAGAACUUCUCACGUGAGGUAAAUGUCUCGCUGGAAACCCUCUUCGACCUUUAUAAGUAAUAUAAUGACUACAACUUCUAUAACCUGUGAACCACUUGAAGUCUGACCUUGUAGAAGCGGUCUACGUUAGGUACGUUAUAAUACGUGGGGUACGUUUACGACUACGUCGGGGAGGACUUUGACCGUUACCACUAUAACAAAACCUAUUACGCUUCCUACCGUGUCUCUUUCUUUUACCACUCCGUUGACUACGACACUUGUUACUGUUCUAUCUCCUUCUAUGACAACUCAGUUUUCUACUAUACCACGUCCUUCAUUUGUUCUACCUACUUCCAUUACACUGAUAUCUUCUGUUCUACCCCCUUCUUUCACGACUGCUCCGAUUCCUGUUCUACCACCUUUGAUGACGACUUCACCGAUAACUCUUGUAUCACCUUCAUUUACGGUUACACCGGUUCAUGUUCUACCUGCUUCUUUUACGGAACAGUUUCCCGCACCUCGUUCUAACUGGACUAUAUUAGCAACCGACCCAUUGUUGCCUUGAACUCAACGACUUCCGGCUUGGUUCCGUGCGUUUUUGCAUACCAGGACAGUUUUCUUGUACGGAGGUAUACGGUGGACAAACUUGGAACUAGUCCAAUAUACGUCCUCCGUACAUGUCUUCGAAGACGUUACUAUUGAAGAGGUUAAGCUUGCAUCUAUAAGGUCUCCUGUCGACCUUGUAACCACAACGGGUUAAAAACACAUAAUCUAAAUACAUAACAUUAAACUCGCUAUUACACUCAUGCAUAUUCAGUGUUAUUAGAUCCUCCGAAAAGUCCUAAACUCAAAACAC
rnacentral:rRNA from 1 species